GGGGCGAGCAGUUCUUAGUAACAUCAUCCCAAGAAAUCAGAGCUCACCGAACAGCCGAGCUGUCUUGCGCUUACCAAUUUUAGUCAGGCGGAAUGCAUACGAGAGCGAUUUUCGUUUUCUUGGCGUUGACCUACAACUGCCACGCAGCGAUAGCGCCUGUGGAGCCAGUUCCCGUCUUCCAGACCGUCAACCAGCUCUUCGAGCCGUUCGGUGAGCCCGAUCCUUCUUUAUCUACGCACCCUGGCUUUGACCCUUCGCUUGUACCAAACAUUCAGCCAGGCCUAGGUGAGGGACUUCAGCGUGCCGCUGGGUCAGCUCAUUUAGGAGUCGUUGCCAACGUGAGUCCUCAACUUCAAGCGAUCACGAAGCAGACUGGAGCUUGCACCAGCUGGUGCCGCACCAACCAAGGACAAGUUUUCUGCUGUGAAAAUGACAUCGUCAGUCCCCACAUCCCAGUCAUUAAGCCUGGUCGUUGUCCCCCUGUGGCACCUGUUUGUCCCAAAGAUCUGCCCUUCGUUGAUGCCUGUAGCAGUGACCGCCACUGUGAAGGAGAUGCCAAGUGCUGUUACGACCCCUGCAGAAACCAUAGGAUCUGUUCAGCACCCGCUCCUCUAUGAUGAUCACGCUAUUACCUCUUAUUUUAUUCGUUUUAUAAUAAAAUUUUAAUGAUU